AUACGGGAGGCAGCAGUAAGGGAUAUUGCGCAAUGGGCGAAAGCCUGACGCAGCAACGCCGCGUGAAGGAUGAAGGCCUUCGGGUCGUAAACUUCUUUUCUCGCUGACGAGGAAGGACGGUAGGCGAGGAAUCAGUCACGGCUAACUACGUGCCAGCAGCCGCGGUAAAACGUAGGUGGCGAGCGUUAUCCGGAUUUACUGGGCGUAAAGCGUGUGCAGGCGGACUGUCAAGUGGUGUAUGAAAUCGCCCGGCUUAACCGGGCGGGGUUAUGCCAGACUGGCAGUCUGGAGUGUGAGAGAGGGGCGUGGAAUUCCGGGUGUAGUGGUGAAAUGCGUAGAGAUCCGGAGGAACCCCAGAGGCGAAGGCGGCGCCCUGGCUCACAACUGACGCUCAGACACGACAGCAUGGGGAGCGAACGGGAUUAGAUACCCGCGUA
rnacentral:rRNA from 1 species